rnacentral:rRNA from 1 species
GUGGGGAAUAUUGGACAAUGGGCGCAAGCCUGAUCCAGCAAUGCCGCGUGGGUGAAGAAGGUCUUCGGAUCGUAAAGCCCUUUCGACAGGGACGAUGAUGACGGUACCUGUAGAAGAAGCCCCGGCUAACUUCGUGCCAGCAGCCGCGGUAAUACGAAGGGGGCUAGCGUUACUCGGAAUUACUGGGCGUAAAGGGCGCGUAGGCGGCUCUGUUAGUCAGGCGUGAAAUUCCUGGGCUUAACCUGGGGACUGCGCUUGAUACUGCAGGGCUUGAGGCCGAGAGAGGGUGGUGGAAUUCCCGGUGUAGAGGUGAAAUUCGUAGAUAUUGGGAAGAACACCGGUGGCGAAGGCGACCACCUGGCUCGGUUCUGACGCUGAGGCGCGACAGCGUGGGGAGCAAACAGGAUUAGAAACCCCAGUAGUCC